UACAGAGGGUGCGAGCGUUAAUCGGAAUUACUGGGCGUAAAGCGUGCGUAGCCGGUUAUCUAAGUCGGAUGUGAAAGCCCCGGGCUCAACCUGGGAAUUGCAUUCGAGACUGAAUAGCUAGGGUGCGGUAGAGGGAAGCGGAAUUUCCGGUGUAGCGGUGAAAUGCGUAGAUAUCGGAAGGAACAUCAGUGGCGAAAGCGGCUUCCUGGACCAGCACCGACGUUCAGGCACGAAAGCGUGGGGAGCAAACAGG
rnacentral:rRNA from 1 species